rnacentral:pre_miRNA from 1 species
AUUGCAAACUAAGUAGUAGUGCCGCAGGUAACUUUGUAUGAGAUUACUUGCUCCCUGCUGCUUAAACUGAAAU